rnacentral:rRNA from 1 species
CUCAGUUCGGAUUGGAGUCUGNAACCCGACUCCAUGAAGCUGGAUUCGCUAGUAAUCGCGCAUCAGCCAUGGCGCGGUGAAUACGUUCCCGGGCCUUGUACACACCGCCCGUCAAGCCAUGAAAGCCGGGGGCGCCUGAAGUCCGUGACCGCGAGGGUCGGCCUAGGGUGAAACCGGUGAUUGGGGCUAAGUCGUAACAAGGUAAC